rnacentral:rRNA from 1 species
AUUGAACGCUGGCGGCAUGCCUAACACAUGCAAGUCGAACGGUAACGCGGGGGCAACCCUGGCGACGAGUGGCGGACGGGUGAGUAAUACGUAGGAAUCUACCCAUGAGUGGGGGACAACCCGGGGAAACCCGGGCUAAUACCGCAUACGCUCUACGGAGGAAAACGGGGGAUCGUAAGACCUCGUGCUGAUGGAUGAGCCUACGUCGGAUUAGCUAGUUGGUAGGGUAAAGGCCUACCAAGGCGACGAUCCGUAGCUGGUCUGAGAGGACGAUCAGCCACACUGGGACUGAGACACGGCCCAGACUCCUACGGGAGGCUG